GACGAACGCUGGCGGCGUGCUUAACACAUGCAAGUCGAACGGAAAGGCCCUGCUUUUGUGGGGUGCUCGAGUGGCGAACGGGUGAGUAACACGUGAGUAACCUGCCCUUGACUUUGUGAUAACUUCAGGAAACUGGGGCUAAUACCGGAUAGGAGCUCCUGCUGCAUGGUGGGGGUUGGAAAGUUUCGGCGGUUGGGGAUGGACUCGCGGCUUAUCAGCUUGUUGGUGGGGUAGUGGCUUACCAAGGCUUUGACGGGUAGCCGGCCUGAGAGGGUGACCGGGCACAAGGGGACUGAGAGACGGCCCAGACGGCUACGGGAGGCAGCAGUGGGGAAUAUGGCACAAUGGGCGGAAGCCUGAUGAAGCAACGCCGCGUGCGGGAUGAAGGCCUUCGGGUGGUAAACCGCUUUCGCCUGUGACGAAGCGGGAGUGACGGUAAUGGGUAAAGAAGCACCGGCUAACUACGUG
rnacentral:rRNA from 1 species